GAUGAACGCUGGCGGCGUGCCUAACACAUGCAAGUCGAACGGAGUCCAGCCUUAGAGACCUUCGGGUCAAAGAGGGGAAGACUGAGUGGCGGACGGGUGAGUAACACGUGGGCAACCUGGCUCAUAGAGGGGGAUAACAGAGAGAAAUUUCUGCUAAUACCGCAUAAGCACGCACUGCCGCAUGGCAGAGUGUGAAAAGAGAAUCGCUAUGAGAUGGACCCGCGUCUGAUUAGCCAGUUGGCAGGGUAAGAGCCUACCAAAGCGACGAUCAGUAGCCGAUUUGAGAGGAUGAACGGCCACAUUGGGACUGAGACACGGCCCAAACUCCUACGGGAGGCAGCAGUGGGGGAUAUUGCACAAUGGGGGGAACCCUGAUGCAGCGACGCCGCGUGAGUGAAGAAGUAUUUCGGUAUGUAAAGCUCUAUCAGCAGGGAAGAUAAUGGCAGUACCUGAAUAAGAAGCCCCGGCUAACUACGU
rnacentral:rRNA from 1 species